rnacentral:lncRNA from 1 species
CAUGCUUUGUUUUAUUUCUCUGCAAAAUGAUUGUCCUUUUUUUUGUCGUUUGAUGUUGGAGGUUGACUUCGUGGAUUAGGGUUCAAGAUUUGGUAGAUGUUAAUUGGAUUUGUUCCUUUUUUUUCUUAAUGCUAAAAUUUGGUUUGUGUAAGGAGAAAUAAACUUUGAUUUAUUCCGUAAGUGUUUCAAGCUGAGAAGAGAAGGAUUUGAAGCAGAGCAGAACACUCCAUGUUCCGUUUCGCUUUUGUAUCAAAAUGAGUUUUAAGGCCAAAGAUGAACGGUGCCUUUCCCCUUGCCCGAGAUUAAUAUUGUUUUGUUUCACCCUAGGCUUUAAUGGACUUCUUUCUCGGUCACGACGUGUGGUCGUUGGGGUGGGAGAAUCUUGUCUCCACACGUGUCUUCUUGCGGAAGGUGGAGGGUUUUGCUGGAUCCGACCCAUGGUUUCGGAUAACCCGGAUGGAUCCUGCCCAUUUGGUCCUCCUAGGUUGACGACCCACCCCCGCUCCGUCUACUUUGCUGCGCCUUGAUGGGCCUUAGGAGCAUUCAGGGCCCACCGUUUUUUUUUACUAUUUUUGUUGGCAUUUGUUUUGUUUUUAUUAUUUCUCUUUUUCUUUUCUUUCAAGAAAUAAUUUUAUUUAUUUAAAAUGAAGUUUUAUUUAUCAAUUAGGUUUUUUAUCAAUACCUAAAUUUUAGUCAUAUAAUUCACUAUUAUUAUUGCUAUUAUCAUCAUCCUUAAUUAUCUACUGUAACUUAGACUUUGAUUUAUUUCCUUCUUGGGAUUUAUGUGAGUUAUCACACUUAGUCUUGUUUAUUCAUUCGUACAAAUUGUCGACUUUUGGUGCGUGUGAUAUGUCACAAUCACGAUAAACCAUUUCAAUUUCAUGAAGAAAAAAGAAACCCAUUCAAACCAAUUUCAAAAAAAUAAACCAUCCAUUUCUCGAUUCAAUGUCGAGUCCAUUUUUCAAAUACCUUUUAAGUCGACUGCUUUUAAGCAUCGCCAUCAACCUCACAUAGCUUACUCUUGGGCUUCCUUACAAUAAGACCGUUCUCUCGCACUUACACUCAUGCAUUGUUUAUUCGUUGUUUGAGCCCGAGUUAUUUACUUAAAUAUCUUGAGUACCCAUUUGACAAAAUGUACCCUCAUUCCCAUGAUGUGUAAUAAUAUUACUAUUUUAUUUCUUUAUCUUCUUGACUACUUAGCUAGCUACUAACACGAGAAUAAAAUCAACCUUUUUCAGAAGGAUCAAGAAAAUAAAGACUCGACCCAACGUCGAGCAUUUUCUCUAUAAACAAUAUUCAUUUGUUUCUACCUAUUCCCUUUUCUUUCAAACCACUUCAUUUCAAAUCUUUCUCAAUCACUCAUCAAAUGCUUGAUCCAACGUUAAGCCGCUUUCACAAUAAAAACUCAAAAAACAAAUUAAUAUUUAAGACCUUUUCAAUAAAGAUGGAUGUGGAACGUGGUGGAUACCACGCACUCCUGAGACUAAGGUUCGAGAUGGAUGUCUCGCCGAUCUUAGCUCUCGCCGUCAUCCAAAUCUAUCUAUUUUGUUUCUUUCAAACCUUCAUUCAAAUUUUUCUUAAUCGUCCAUCAAAUACUUGAUCCAACGUCAAGUCAUUUUCAUAAUAAAACGAAAAAAUACUUAAUGUCUAUCUAAACACUUUUCAAUAAAGAUGGAAAUGGAACGUGGUGGAUACCACGCACUCCUGAGACUAGGAUUCGAGAUGGAUAUCUCGCCUAUCUUAGCUAUCACCAUUAUCCAAAAUUGUCAAUGCAGUUUCUUCAAACCCUUUUCUCAAUCAAAAUCAAAAACACUUAAUUCUUAUUAAAUACUUUUGCAAAUAAGAUGGAAAUGGAACGUGGUGGAUACCACACACUCAUAAGACUAGGAUUCGAGAUGGAUAUCUCGCCCAUCCAAGUUCUCGCCAUUACUCCAAAGACAUCAAACCAAUCAAUUUCUUUUCUCGCCGUCGUGCGAUUGAUCCUUAAACCUUUUCUCAAAUGAAAUGUACUUUGUUUCAAAACAAUGCAAGGCAAUGUUUCUCCACCUGUUUUGGGUAGUCUAACAAUGUUUUCGUCGAUUGACACAAAGUAGCUUUCGCUAAAAUCGGCCAACAAACAAACAUUUUUCUACCCAGAACUACAUAAGCCUUGAUUUCUCUAUUGAGAUACGUAGGAGCAGGAUUUGUAAAUCUUGUCAGGCCCAUUAAUAAAAAACUUAGGUUUAGUCCUUUGUCGAAAAUCCUAAAACAUUUUUCUCUCUUCCAUUCUUUCUUUCCCACCUAACCACUUGAAAAGCCUAACAUUUCAAACUAACACUAAUGCGCACAACUAACAUAAUGGUUCCCGUUGAGUACAACGGACGUGAGGGGUGCUAAUACCUUCCCCUUGCGUAAUCAACUCCCGAACCCUGAUUUGGUUGUGACGACCAUAAUCAUUAUCGUUCUUUCUUGGGUUUUAUCGAUAUUUCCCCUUUCCUUUUAGGAAUAAAUAAAGUUAGGUGGCGACUUUGUUCAGUCCAUCAUUGCGAGCGUGCAAUUUUGCACUUCGCUAAGUCGUAUUCCCAUUUUCCGAGGUACGACAGAUGGCGACUCUGCUGGGGACAUGUCGUUCCCUAAGUGAGUCAAGCCUAGUUCGGACGUUUGUGUGCCUUUGUUUGUUUAAUUGUGUGGAUUUUCUUUAUUGCUUUUAUUAUCUUUAUUGUUAUAUUGAUAUAUCUGUUGUAUAUUGGUUCCACUAUGUUGUAGUACUUGGAUAUUUUGAUUGCAAAACCUGUGGGAAAGACUCUAUACCCGAGUCUAGAGUGGAAAAAAAAUGAGAUAGGACGAUGGUUGAGUAGUACAGACUCCCGAGGUGAAUACUUCAUAAGAGUCGGUAUGAGAACCUCACUUAGAGUAGAUCCUUUUGCAAAUAUUAUCGCCCGAGGUGGAUACUUCGUAAGCUUCAAUAUUUCAAAGGGGUCCAUGACUCUAAGAACCUUUUAGAACAUUGAACCUUUGGCCAACUAGAAAUGAUGGUUGCGUAGUAUGGAUUCUCGAAGUGAAUACUUGUAAGAAUCGGUACGAGAACCUCGCUCAGAAUAGAUUCUCUAGAUGGAGUUGACGAUCAGAAAGUAUUUUCCGUAAGCGUCAAACAUUCUUUCGAAUCCAUGACUCUUAGUACCCGGUCUAGAACCAAGUUGAGGGUUGCGUAGUACGGACUCCUGAGGUGAAUACUUCGUAAGAGUCGGUACGAGAACCUCACCCAGAAUAGAUUCCCUUGAUGGAAUUGAUGACCAGAAAGCAUUUUCCAUAAGCGUCAAAUAUUCUUGCGAAUCAAUGACUCAGAGGAUCCUUUGUAACAAAACCUUAGAUCACACCCGGUGAGAACCCCAUUUUGGAAAUGCAAUCAGAUUUAUCCAUACCUCGGGCCUUUGAACCUGUACCAAAAUAAAACAUUGCAUCCAUUCAUUCAUUGCAUACGCAUAAAAAGCAAAACUCUUAGUUUGUUUCGCAUUAUUUCAGGAAUCCAAGACUUGUUAGCAAAAUGAAUCCUGAGAGAAAAAGCACUUUUCAAUUCAAAUACCAGAACGUGGACCUUGCCAGCCUGCAAAAGUUGAAUGCCAAAGUAACACCGAUCAAACUCAACAGCUUUGUGCAAGACUAUGGAAGAAUUCUGGACAUCCUAAAUGAGAAGAUGGACAUGAUGACCGCAAUGACUAUUGCUCAGUUCUAUGAUCCACCUCUACAUUGUUUCACGUUUUCUGACUUCCAAUUGGCUCCUACCUUGGAGGAGUUUGAGAGGAUCAUAUGCCGGAAUUUAAAGGAUCAUGAUCCAUUUCCGAAGUUUGAUGAAGGUAUUCCUCCAAAGAGGAUAGCUUUAGCUUUGGGUCUGAAGGUUUCUGAAGUCGUGGACAAUUGGGAUGUGAAGGGAGCUUUCAAUGGUUUUUAUAGGAAGUUCUUGGAAUAUCAAGCUAAGAAGAUGGAAAAGGAGGGGAAUUGGGAAGCUUUCUAUGAUGUGUUAGAUGUGUUGGUAUAUGGGAUAGUUCUUUUCCCAAUAUUGACCAUUUUGUGGACCACCUGGCGGUGAGAAUCUUUCUCUCUGGUAACCCUGUAUCGUUCCUCCUAGCAGACCUUCACUACACUCUCCAUGGUCGUCAUGAGAAGAAGGGAGGAACCAUUUUAUGUUGUGCACAGCUGUUGCAUGCCUGGCUUAGAUCUCAUAUGCCCGAAGAUGGCCCUUUCGUCUCGAAGGAACUCAAGCCCUCCCAGAAGUUAGCUUCCCUCACCUCCAAUCAUGUUAAGUGGUAUAUCAGGGAUUGGGAAACCGAGGAUGUUAUUGUCAGCAUUGGAGACUUCCCUAAUGUACCUUUGAUAGGAACCAAGGGUUGCAUCACUAUAACCCUGUGUUAUCUUUGAGGAAGCAUAGUUACCCUAUGAAUGGCCCUCCAAAAGCUGAAGCUUUAGAGCCUUUCAUCUUGCACAGUGCUGAAGCAGAUCAUCCCAUAGUGAAGAAGAUCAAGAGGUCUUGGCAAGCAGUUAUCAAAAAAGGUAAGGAAUUGGGUAAGAGAAAUGUCAUCGCUCGAGAGCCUUAUACUUGUUGGGUGAGAGAGAGGGUUCAAAUGGUUAAACUCCCUUUUCCAUUUGAUCCUUCUAUCUAUUUGUCGGUUCCUGGGCCAGAACCCAUAUUACCUGAAGAUGUGGAGAAGCUUAAUGCCCGUAUUAAGGAGCUGGAGUUGGAGAAUGCUGACUUAAGGAUUAAGCUCGACCGAGUCUCGGUAGAGAAUGGGAAUUUGAAAGAUGGUCAACAGAAAAAGGACAAAGAGUUUGAAAUCUCCAACAAAAUAGCUAGGGAGUUUAAGGCAAGGAGAGAAAAGUUCGGAUAAGCGCUCUACAACACUAAAUCUGUGUUCAAGACAAAGGAGGAUGAGUUGGAUAUAUCUUUACUCCGGAUUCAAAAACUCAACAAGACUCUGGAAUUGACCCUUGAAAUGAAAAGGGAAGCACGAAUGAUUUAUGAGAUUCGUACUCGUGAACUGGAGAAUACCAUUCAGAAAUGCAAGGAUACUCUGGAACGCGAGAAGCUAAGGACUGAAGAGUUGGAAAGAGUUUGCACACGGCUGAAUUAUUAGUUGGAACAAGCCAAUGCUAGAACCCAGGCACUUGAAAGUGGAGAUCAGGAUGCUGCCUAUCUGAUGUUGCUGGGUGAGUGCAGAUACUGGAGAAACCUCUAUAGGGACAUAGAGGUGACCAAGGCUGAAGACUUGCGCAUCAUUCAAGACCUCCAAGGGCUUUACACUGAGUGGAAGGGCAAAUUUCUGAGGCUGUCCAGAUUUGUAAAUUCCGUCAUGCAAGAGCUACCUGAGAAACUGCAAGAAGAUGAUUGGUGCAUAUGUCCAUAGAACACCCCACAUUAAGUUUUUAAUUUUAUUAAAUUUUGUAAGGCGAUGUUGGAAGGGUUGACUACCGACCUUGCUAUGGUUCAGAAAUCCCAUAAGCCAUAAGCAUUUUGUUUAUAUUUGAAUUUUGUUCUAAACUAAUGAAAAAAUUGCUUUUGGGAUUCAUUUUAUUGUGUUUUAUUGCUUUAUUGCUUUAAAUACUGGUGAACAAAUGUUGUGGCAUUUCUGAAAUGAAUGACUGAAACUAACCAAGAGUUUUGCAAACAAGAUGCAUUCAUACAUGCAUUCAUACAUUUUCAAAUAGAGUCUUACUCCGUCCUUUCUUCCUCCAGUUUCACGCUGAAUCUUCAACACUCGUAUAAUACCCGCGCCCGAGCAAGACAAAGGAUGGCUGAACAAGAGCAAGAGAGCGCCCGAGUUAGAGUUGAACUAGACGAGAUCAAAGGGGGCAUGUCCCAGAUGAGGGAAAUGCUACAAGCUUUGACUUUCAGAUUUGAGGUUCUGCAAGCGACCGUGAUUUCAGAGACCACGGGAGCAGUAGUGGAAGUCCAACAUCAGAGGAUGUUACCCUUAACCCUUCCUCCAUAUGGGAUACCUUACGACUUCGUCCCUCGAGCGGAAGUAGUGCACAACAUGGGGCAAUCUAUCCAACAAGCCGUGCCAUUACCGGUUUACACUGAUGCACGCCCAGUCAUCCAUAUUGUUGCUCCACCAGCUGCCUAUGCUAGGCAUAUUUCACACUUUGAAGAUCAACAUCACAUGUAUUAAACUAUCGACUCAACCUUUGUUGGUGACGAAGUAAGAUUUGAAGAUUUCAGAGAAGUAAAGGAGAACAUGCAACUCCUUGAGAAGAAGUUCCGAGAUUUAGAAGGAGACCACGUCUUUGGAUCUGUCACCAACGAAAUGUGCCUUGUAUCUGGGUUGGUGAUUCCGGCAAAAUUCAAAACUCCAGAAUUCGACAAAUACAAGGGGCAUACUUGUCCAAAGAGCCAUCUCAUCAUGUAUUACCAAAAAAUGGUUGCACACUUGGAAGACGACAAGCUGAUGAUCCACUAUUUUCAAGAUAGCUUGAGUGGGGCUCCUUCCAAGUGGUAUUUAAGUCUGGAUUAGAAUAGGAUCAGAUGUUUCUAAGACCUGUCAGACGUGUUCAUAAAACACUACAAAUACAACAUGGACAUGGCACCUGACAGAAGACAGUUGCAAAGCAUGUUCCAGCAUGACAAAGAGUCCUUUAAGGAAUAUGCUCAGAGAUGGAGGGAACUGGCUUCCCAAGUUGAACCACCUCUAGCCGAGAAGGAAUUGGCUGAACUAUUCAUCGACACUGUCCAACCCCAAUUCUAUGAGAAGAUGGUUGGAAGUGCUUCCUUGGGAUUCUCCGAGUUUGUUGCUAUAGGGGCUCGCGUCGAAUAUAGUUUAAGAAAUGGCAAACUUACAGCUGUAACUGGAACUUCAAAUGCUAAUCCGAAGAAGUUCACUGGAGGGUUUCCCAGAAAGAAGGAAGGGGAAACAAAUGUUGUGACUGUUGGCCAAGGAAGAGCCCCUCCAAGAAGGAGACAACAACAAUAUUCACCUCAGCAGUAUGUUCAACAACCUUGUCCAUAUCAGCAGCCCCUGUAUCCCGUCCAGUACGCCCCACAACUGUAUGUAGCUGUUGUGACGCAUGUAUUCAAUCAACAACCUGCUCAGGCUUAUCAAGGGCCUCCAGUUUAUCGACCAGCUCCAGUUCAACAACGUGUUGUGAUUCCUCCAUCUUAUCAACAAGCACCAGCAGCUCCUGUCUAUCAACAGCCGAGAGCUCAAGUUCCAAGGUAGAAUGCUCAGAACCAGAAUAGGAGGUAAGGGGAUAGGGCGACAUUCAAUCCAAUCCCAAUGUCGUACGCUGAGCUUUAUCCCUCCCUGUUACAAAAGGGUUUGGUGGUUCCCAGACCUAUGGGACCUCCACCUGAUCGUCUGCCUCCAUGGUACAACCCUAAUGCACACUCACCUUUUCAUGAAGGUGCCCCCGGGCACGACCUAGAGGGUUGCUAUGCUUUGAAGCAUAGGGUUUGUGAGCUGAUUGACAACAAGAUCAUGUCUUUUAAGGAUAUGGGACCGAAUGUGAAGAAUAAUCAUCUUCCUCCCCAUGGAGAUCCCGCAGUGAACACCAUUGAAGAUGCCUCUGUUGGUGUUAUGGUUGAGAAGGUGGAGGGUGUCAAGACUCCUUUGGUAGCGCUCCAUGCCCGGUUGAUGGAAUUUGGCCUGAUUAAUGUUAAUCAUGAAAAUUGUGAAGAGUGUGCCACAUACCCAAGGGGGUGUCAGGUGGUACGAGAUAACAUUCAAGAUUUGAUGAAUAAAGGAGUGCUUCAGAUAUCCAAUGUUAUGAAGGAUGAAGAUGUGUUGGUAAUUAAACCUUGCUUCAAUUUACCCGAACCUAUUGAAAUCCCAUAUUACAGUCGUGGAGUGGUUCUUACGAAUAGUCAUCCGUCACCCGUUGAGAUAUGUAUGCCCACGCCUUUUCCAUAUGAGAGCACCAAGGUUGUGCCUUGGAAAUAUGAGAUUAUCGCUGUGGACAAGGUUGUUGAAGGAAGUGCAGACGUUGAAGUGACAGAAGUUGUAAGUGAAGACGUCACCAAUAUUGCCGAAAUGAGCAAAUGACCCAUAGUGGUCGAAUCUAUACGCCUGAAUUCAAUGUGACUCCUCAAGGGUCGACCAUGGAACCUACAGUUGCAACUCCCACUAAAGAACCCGAAGUGGUCCAAUAUGGAGAUGUUAUUGAAUUAUUGAAGUUGAUCAAGAGAAGUGAUUACAAAGUGGUGGAUCAACUGCAUCAGACACCCUCUAAGAUCUCUAUUAUGUCUCUGCUAUUGAACUACCAAGCCCAUAGGGAGGCUUUGUUGAAGGUUCUUGCCCAAGUUCAUGUAACACAAAACAUAACAGUAGACCAGUUUGAUGGGGUGGUUGCGAACAUCACAGCUUGUAAUACUUUGAGCUUCAGUAGAGAGGAAUUACCUGAAGAUGGACAAAAUCAUAAUCGUGCUCUCCAUAUCUUGGUAAAAUGCAAAGAUGAUGAUUUGGCAAGAGUCUUGGUUGAUACCGGGUCUUCUUUGAAUAUGAUGCCAAAGAGAACACUCGCCAAGUUAUCUUAUCAAGGACCAGCUAUGAAGCCUAGUGCCUUGAUAGUGAAAGCUUUUGAUGGUUUUAGAAGACCCGUGAUUUGAGAGGUUGAACUGCCCAUAUUGAUUGGCCCUCAUGUAUUCCUAAUUAAUUUCCAAGUCAUGGAUAUUAAUCCAGCGUAUAGCUGCUUAUUGGGGCGUCCUUGGAUUCAUGCGGCAGGGGCAGUCACCUCCAUUUUACAUCAAAAAAUGAAUUUUAUGGUGGAUAAUCAACUGAUCAUCAUUUCUGGGGAAGAGGACUUUGUGGUUAGUCAUCUUUCAUCCUUCAGAUAUAUCGAGGCUGAUGAGGACGCUUUGGAAACUUCUUUCCAAGCUCUUGAAAUAGCCAAUGCCAUAUUUUUGGAGAUGAGGGACCCGGUUGGGAAAGCUUGUUCAUCUUUCGCUUCUUUGAAAAGCGCCAAGUAUAGUAUUGAAGGAGGAAACCCUGAAGGUUGGGGUCAACUUAUUGAUGUUCGUGAGAAGCAUGAUCGCUUUGGUCUGGGAUAUGUGCCUUCCACUGCGAAAGGAGCCCGAGUCCCUGCAAAGGACAACACUCGAAGCAUCCAGGAAGUAUUCCUCAGUACAGGAUUCAUCCAUGGAGAUCAGGUCAAUGCAAUUGGAGAUAACACUAAAGACGAAGAUGACCCAUGUUUGGUUUACCGGUGUGAGACAGCUUUGAACAAUUGGAAGGCGGUUGAGAUCCCUGAAAUUUUUCCUUUGUCAAAGUAAUAAUUAUUGUUUUUCCUUUCAAAUCCUUAGCUCUGCCCAAGGCUAAUUGAUCAUGUUGUAGGGCCCCUUUUCAUUUUUAAAUAAUCAUUAUCAGUGAAAAAAAGGCAUUUCGUUAAAUUCUUAUUAUUUAUUUGCUUUCUCUUAAGAAAAUGCCAAUCUUUUCAAAAGACAAAAACUUUUCAUUUGUGCAUCUUUUACUUUUCCUUUUCUAAAAAAAACCAAUCAUUCAAACAUACAGAAUAAAUGAUAACCCCGUUGAAUCCAAUGACUCUACUCCCUCUCAUAACUUUGACUCCCCUAUCUACCAAGCUGAAGAAGAGGGCAAGGGAGAUUGUUACAUCCCCGACGAAUUGGCAAGGCUGCUCGAGCACGACUCCAAAGCCCUUCAGCCACAUGAAGAACCGGUGGAAACAAUCAACCUUGGCACAGAGGAAGAGAAGAAAGAAGUCAAAGUCGACACCACGCUUGAAGCAAGCAUCAAAGAGAGAUUGGUUAAGCUGCUACAAGAAUAUGUGGAUGUAUUUGUAUGGUCAUACCACCAAGCAUGCUUGAAUUUUAUAUUAUUGCUUUUAUUAUUUUUUUUACUAACCAAAAGCACAAAAAUAUGUCACUAACUUGUUUUGUUUUGUAGCUUGAGCAAUCAUGUGAUCCAAGGCUCCUAGGAGACCCCUAUGUUCAUUGAUGUGGCUAGAUGAAGUUGAAAGCAAGCAUGGAAAUGGUUCCCAAAGCUCUCAAUCAUCAUAUAUGCCUCCCAAGUAUCUCAAUUUGUCAAUUUGAUCAAGAUAAACCAAAAGGCUUGAGGAUUGUUUCCCAAGGAAACCUUAAUUCAUCUGUGCAUUGACUUUGCCUUGCUCAUGAAGCAACCUCAACCCAUGAUCAAAUACAAUCAAGGGAAGUUAUUUCAUUCAUCAUUUUAUGCAUAUAUGUGUCUAUGUGAGUAUCCUCAAUCAUCAAUUCAUUAAGAUUUGAAGUUUGGACUUGAGAAGUUGAUCAGUCAAUUCAUCUGACUAUUUUGAGAUCCACUGAGACCUAACUUUUGAUGUGUUUGUCAAAUGAAGCUGACCCUGGAUCCAAAAUGUUCCUAAGAACCAUAUGAACAACUUUCAUGUUCAUCAAAAAUUUAUUUUAAGCUUGGAAGGUCAUCAUUCAUUUCAAAACAUUAUAGGUCAUUUUGACUGAAACCCUAAUUUUGGGUCAACUUCCCAAGGACAUAACUCACUCAUUUUCCAUGAUUUUGAGGUGGGAUCAAAUUCAUUGGAAAGUUUAAGAUGUCUAAUUCAAUUGUUAUGUUGAACAAAAUUUCAUAAUCAUAAACGAAACACAUGUGAUAAUACAAAACAUUAUAGGUCACUUUGGACCAAAGCCAUUGAAUCUUGAAAAAGCCCAACUUCAAGUGCCCAUAACUUUCUCAUAAAAAAAUCCAAAUGAUGCACAAUUUAAGUCCAAAUUUAUUGUCUUGAAAAGAGCUACAACUUUUAUAUUUAAGGUUUUGCCAUUUGAGGCUUGCAUCAUUGAAACAGAAGGGCUUGAAGUUGGUCCAUUUUGAAAAAAUUCACAUACACAUGUUUUGUACAUUGAACGUCAUGGUCUAUUUUCAUAAAUUUCCCAAUCCCAAAUGGAUUUUUGUUCAACAUAACAAUUGUUCCUCAUGUCAAGACCUUUCCAACCAUAACCCACAUGACCAUGUUUCAAUUUGGCAAAGUGCAUUUUCGAAGAGGAGAAGAUUUAUGUUCAUUUAUGGAAACCAUGUCAAAACUCCAUGCACAAGCCAAUUCCAUGAGAUCUGCACGUCCAAAACACUCCAAUUAUGCUUCAGCUUGCAUUUGCCAUCAAGUUUGGGCCUCCCACGUGCCUGUACAGGCCCAUGCAUGGAGGCCCUCAUUCCACAUGCACACGAGUGUGGCAAGGCUUGCAUCAUCUCAUGCUAUAAAUACAUGUGCUUGGCUUCAUUCAUUGGCAACCUUAAGGCGCCUAACACUCUGCAGAAUUGAAAUCCCACCUUUCACUCAAAGGAAUUUUGCAUUUCUUCUUCAAUUUUUUAGUUCAAUUUUCAACUUCCUUGGUUGAUUAUCGAGCUUCAAUUCCUAAGCCUAGCUACUUUGCCAUCUCAAGAUCAUAUUGCAACAAAGAAUUGGAAGAGAUCGUGCCUUGUAAAGUGGCACUUCAAAGGUUGUUGUUCAAACUUUUUCCAUUCGAAUCUCCCUGGAUUUUGCUCAUUUCUUGUGUUUGUUGGUUCCUCUGAAGUCCUCAUGUGAGAGGCAAUUGAUCUGUGCAUUUAAUUUCAUGAAUUGAUCAAGUUCUGAUUGGACACCAUAAACUUCCAUCUCAGAUUUCUCUUCAUGUAGUGAUCUUGAGUGGAAACCAAUGGUACAGGGGUGAUGUACAUCACCCCCAGCUUUCCAAUGAUAUGAGGAUCGUGUAUUUUUAUGAAGCUUUUAAAACUUGCAACUCUGGCCGGAGCUGGCUUGCUCGCCGGAGAAGACGGUGGUGUACACCACCGUCCCCCAUGCGUGGAUACAUUUGGACCGUUUGUUCUCUUUUCCAGUUUGAAUCAGAGCCUUUGGAUGUUAUGACUUUUAAUAAUGAUGUGUGUUUCUCCUUUGACUCUGGAUCACCAUGAGCGUGCGCCUUACAGCCUCUUGAUGCGCGACAUCAUUUAAUGAAAUCAGAUCAAACGCUCCCUGUUUUUUUCUAAUUUCUGAUUUUCUAUUUUAUUUUCUUUUUAUUUCCUUUUAUUUCAAAAAUUCAUAACUCUUUCAUUUUAAAUCCAAAAAAUAUGGAAUUAAUUGUAUCAUUUCCCUUUUUAAUUCUAGUUGCUGAAAAUGAUUUUUAAUAUUUUUUAUGAGUUCAUUUAAUAUUUUUUGUGAAUUUUCUCUUUUCUGGUUAUUUUUUAAUUCAUUUAAAAUAGUUUCCAAUAUCCAAAAAUGCCAAAAAUAUUUUGUUAACAUCUUUGAAUGAUGAUGAAUCCAUGAAAAAUAUUCUCAUCAAUUUCUUAAUUGAUUUGAGAUUUAUUUGAGAUUUUAGUUUAAUUAUGUUAUUUUUUAUUCAUUUUUAAUUGUUUAAAAUUAGUUUCUGGUUUCUAAAAAUGAUGAAAAAAAUUGUCAAAUCUUGUUUGACCUUGUUAAACUUAGGAUGAUCCAUUUGGACUUUUCAAAGUUGAUUUGAAAUGGAUUUGAAGUUUGACCUUUAUUUGUUUAUUUUAAUUCAACUAUUAUUUUAAUUCUGAAAAAUACCAAAAAUAUUUUAUUUGUUUCUUGACUUCUAAGUUUCAUCUUGCUUCUGUUUACCAUUGGUUGACUUUGAUUCCAUUCAUGUUUGAUCAAUGUGUGUUGGAUAUUUCAUUUGAAUUCCAUUUAUGUACAUUUUUAUUCUUCUUCUUCAUCAUCUUUUUUCUUUUUGAUCAAUGAGUUAAAGAUUGGUGGUUAGCCUUGACAUAUGAGAGGCUUAACCUUCCUUGGUUCAAAUCAAAUUCAUCUUGAUCAAAGAUCAAGUGAAUUGCUUUGCAUUAAAAGAUUGGUGGUUAGCCUUGACAUAUGAGAGGCUUAACCUUCCUUGGUUCAAAUCAAAUUCAUCUUGAUCAAAGAUCAAGUGAAUUGCUUUGCAUUAAGGAUAGGUUACUUCUUGGUCAAGCAAAAAACCUAAAUCAAUACAAGAUCAUUCUUCUUUUCUUUGGGCAUGGCAAGUUGUAGGAGCUUGGCUCACUAGUCAUGAUCUCUAACUUGUGUUUGUUGUCUAUAGUUUUAUUGACCGACCUCAGAUAGGUGUGACUACUACAUUAGUCCACUUACGAUUACUUAACAUGGAGCUAAAUUGCCUUAUGACACACUAAUACUAACUACUAAUGACUAACUUUUAAUUCAAACAUUUAAUUCUUGCAAUUUACUUUAAUGCAAUUUAAUAUUCUUGUACAUUAAUUCAUUUGCUUCUGCCCUUUUCUCACUAGAGCUCAUGUUUAUGUUAAUGCAAUUUGCCUUUUGCUCACUUGAGCACAUUAUUGUGUAUAUACUAUUGUGCUUGUUUUGUUUUGUUUGAGUGAAUCCAAUGCAAAUGAGCAAAGGACUUAGUUUUUAGGACCUUACCUAUGCUAAUGGAGUUUGAAGAACAACUAGGCCUCAUGCCUUUAGAGUGCUAAAAAUGUCAAAGAGCAACUAGGCCUCAUGCCUUUAGAAUGCUUAAUGUUGAAGAUGAAUUGAAAGGACCUAAUUCUAAACUCACUCUUGUCCAUUCUUUCUAUUGCAUUGUGGAACUUUUUUAUUUGUGUGUUCUUGUGUGCUAGGAAUCCUAAAUUUGAGCUACAUAGAAGAACCAUUGUCAUGAGCAUCCAAAGUGAGAGAUACAAAAGCCAAUUGGAAGAUUCCUAGGAGCUUGUUUGGUUGUGUGCUUGAUUGCUUGAGUUAUUUGCUUAUUGCUUGCUAAUUCCAAAGGAAAGGGAACAACUUGGAUCAUCACUAUGAUCUCAAGAAGGGAACUCCAUGUGGUUUUAUUUCUCUUCCUUCAUCUUUGUAUGUUUAGGACUUAGCCAUUCUCUUCUUCUCUCCACUCUAACCCAAGCCAGACGUUUAUGCAAACAUUAACAUUGUUUUCAAAAUUAGAAACCUAAGCACUAUGCUUCUGAUUUUUUCAAACUCUUUUCAUAACACUUAUUUUGAAUUGAAUCCUAAGUCAACUUUGACCUUACUUUGUAAACACUUUUCAUUGGUAAAUACAACUCACUCAAUUGUUUAUGUUGUUUCAAUGGCCACUUCUUACCAAAGCUUUUCAUAAACAUUAGCUAUUAGGUUUGAGUUAUCCUAGAGGUGGAUAUAAUACUCACCUAUAUCCUUAGUGAUAGACUAUAAGUCUUCCAUGCUUAUUAUAGGGUUAACCCCUCACUAGCAUGUUGAAGCUCUCCUCACAUGGUGGAUUUGUGGUUUUAGGUUGAGUUUUCUCCUUUGAUAACAAAAGACUUAAGGAUUUUGACCAAUCAAUUCACCAACUUCUUUUGAGAUUUUUUACCCCGAACUACGAGGUUUUGAUCCUACCUUUUUAAGAUGGUACGUAGGCAUGGGUUUAUCAUUCAAACACAAAAUUGUAAAUAACUUGUAUAUUCUUUCUCAUCUCCCCAAUCAUGUUUGCACAAAUAUUUUUCACAAAUACCAACCUACCUUACAACAUUUGUAAAAAGGGCUCCCUUAGAGUACUAAGGAUGUUUUGGGUGCUUAAAACCUUCCCAUUUUAUAACCAACCCCCUUACCCAGAUCUCUGACAUUUUUAUUAGUUUUUGAUUUGAUAAAACUUCUCGGUUUUCGUUUGCUUUCUAACCUUUCCUUUGGAUAAAUAGAAGUGCGGUGGCGACUAGAAUUGUAUGAUUUACUUUUGAUUUAGUCAAUAAAUCUAAAGGUAACGAAUACCCCGCUACACCUUGUAGUGGCGAAGUACCCACAAUGGGUAGCUAAUAUUGUACUUGUGCCUAAAAAGGAUGGCAAGGUGAGGAUGUGUGUUGACUAUAGGGAUCUGAACAAAGCUAGUCCAAAGGAUGAUUUCCCCUUACCACACAUUAAUACUCUUGUAGACAACACUGCAAGUUUUGUUGUAUUCUUCUUUAUGGAUGGUUUUUAUGGAUACAAUCAAAUCAAGAUGGCUCCAGAUGACAUGGAGAAGACCACUUUUAUUACCCCUUGGGACACGUUUUGCUACAAGGUAAUGCCUUUCGGUCUCAAAAAUGCCGGGGCAACUUACCAAAGAGCUAUGGUCACUCUUUUCCAUGACAUGAUGCACAAGGAGAUAAAGGUCUAUGUCGAUGACAUGAUCGCUAAAUCUAAGAAUGAAGAAGAUCAUAUGAACCAUCUGAAGAAGCUGUUUGAACGCCUCAGAAAGUUUAGAUUACGAUUAAACCCUGCAAAAUGCACAUUUGGUGUCCGUUCAGGGAAGUUGCUUGGUUUAAUCGUUAGUCAAUGAGGUAUUGAGGUAGACCCUGACAAAGUACGAGCUAUACAAGAAAUGCAUGCUCCACGCACCGAGCGAGAGGUUAGAGGUUUCCUUGGACGUUUGAAUUACAUCUCAAGGUUUAUCUCACACAUGACGGCCACGUGUGAGCCUAUCUUCAAAUUGCUUCGAAAAGAUCAAGUUGUUGAAUGGAAUUCUGAUUGUCAAAGUGCUUUUGAGAAGAUCCGUCAAUACUUGCAAGAGCCUCCUAUUUUGAUUUCACCUGUCCCAGGAAAGCCAUUAGUCAUGUAUCUGGCCGUACUUAAAGGGUCAAUGGUAUGCGUGCUAGGGCAACAUGACGAAACUGGUCUGAAAGAACAUGCUAUUUACUAUCUGAGUAAAAAGUUUACUGAUUGUGAAAGUCGAUAUUCUCUUUUGGAGAAGACUUGUUGCGCGCUGGCAUGGGUCGCUCGUCGUUUGAGGCAGUACAUGAUUUGCCACACUACUUUGUUGAUCUCGAAAAUGGAUCCAAUAAAGUAUAUAUUUGAGAAACCCGCCUUAACUGGAAGACUAGCCCGUUGGCAGAUGCUCUUGUCAGAGUACGACAUCCAGUAUGUAACCCAGAAAGCAAUCAAGGGAAGUGUUUUAGCAGAGUAUCUCGCUCAUCAACCAGUUGAAGACUAUCAGCCAUUGAAGUUUGAUUUCCCCGAUGAGGAUAUAAUGGUGAUAAAGGAUUGUGAGAUCCUAGGCCCAGAUGAAGGACCAUAACCAGGAUCUCGAUGGAAUCUCGCGUUCGACGGUUCCUCCAAUUACAGUGGUCAUGAUGUGGGAGCUGUUUUGAUGAAUCCAAAUGGUGGCUUUACCCCUUUCACAGCAAGGUUGUGCUUUGAUUGUACGAAUAAUGUCGCAGAAUAUGAAGCUUGUAUCCUUGGUCUUGAAGCCGCAAUUGAUCUUCGAAUCAAGAUCCUUAAGGUGUAUGGAGACUCCACCUUGGUGACCUAUCAGGUCAAAGGAGAAUGGGAAACUCGUGAUGCGAAGCUGAUUCCGUAUCGUGCUCAUGUUGUAAAGAUGAUGGAAUACUUUGAUGAUAUCACUUUCCAUCACAUCCCAAGAGUAGAGAAUCAAGUGGUUGAAGCUUUGGAAACAUUAGCAUCAAUGUACCAAUCCAUAUUCUAUAAUGAAGCUCCACUUAUUCGAAUCGAGCGAAGAGAUGAGCCUGCUUACUAUCAAUCGAUUGAAGAAGAAACUGAUGGUAAACCUUGGUUUCAUGAUAUCAAGCGAUAUCUUCUAAGUCAAGAGUAUCUAGAAGAUGCUACAUUGUUGGAUAAGAAAACGCUGAGGAGGUUAUCAUCCAAAUUCUUUUUGAGCAAUGAUGUGCUUUACAAGAGAAACCAUGACAUGGUUCUGCUGAGAUACGUGGAUAGACACGAAGCAGGCCUGUUGAUCAAGGAGAUUCAUGAAGGAUCCUUUGGAACCCGUGCUAAUGGGCAUGCCAUGGCCAAGAAGAUUUUGAGAGCUGGCUAUUAUUGGUUGACCAUGGAGUCCGAUUGUUUCAGCUAUGCAAGAAAAUGUCAUAAAUGUCAGAUCUAUGCUGACAAAGUGCAUGUAUCGCAAACACUGUUAAAUGUUAUAACAUCACCUUGGCCUUUCUCAAUGUGGGGCAUCGACAUGAUUGGUGCUAUAGAGCCUAAGGCUUCCAAUGGUCAUCGCUUCAUCUUGGUUGCCGUUGAUUACUUUACUAAAUGGGUAGAGGCUGCUUCCUACACCAAUGUGACAAGAGAUGUGGUCGCUCGCUUUAUCAAGAAGGAGAUUAUCUGCCGCUAUAGAAUCCCGAGCAAGAUCAUUACUCACAACGGUUCAAACUUGAACAACAAGACAAUGACAGAAUUAUGUGAGAGUUUCAAUAUUGACCACUAUAACUCUUCUUCAUAUCGUCCAAAGAUGAUCGGGGUUGUUGAAGCCGCCAACAAAAAUAUUAAGAAGAUCCUGCAAAAGAUGGUGAAAACUUAUAAGGAUUGGCACGAAAUGCUACCCUUUGCUUUGCAUGGAUACCGGACCCCAAUCUGCACUUCAACAGGAGCAACCCCAUUCUCUUUAGUGUAUGGGAUGGAAGCAAUUCUCCCAGUCGAAGUAGAGAUGCCUUCAAUGAGAAUAUUGAUGGAGGCCAAGCUAGACGAAGCUGAAUGGAUCCAGAACAACUAUGAUCAACUUAACCUCAUUGAUGAGAAGCGUAUGACCGCUCUGUGCCAUGGAAAAUUGUACCAGCAACGAAUCAAGAAAGAGUUUGACAAAAAGGUUCAUCCUCGGGAGUUCAAGGAAGGGGAUCUCAUGCUCAAGAAGAUCCUGCCCAUACACAAAGAUUCCCGUGGGAAGUGGACUCCCAACUAUGAAGGCCCAUACAUUGUAAAAAGAGCAUACUUUGGAGGUGCUCUAUUUCUCACAACUAUGGAUGGUUAAGAGCUCAUUCACCCUGUGAACUCUGAUGCAGUCAAAAGAUACUAUGCCUAACAAAACCCGGUAGACUGAAAACCCGAAAGGGUGGUCCAGGCAAAAGUUAGGGAUAAAAAAACGGUAGCUCGCUAAGUUGAAACCCUGAGAGGGCGACUUAGGCAAAAAGGAGUGUCCCAGUGGAUUGAAAACCCGAAGUGGCGAUCCAUGCAAAAAUUAGGGACAAAAGGCAUAGACUGCAUCAAUGGUCACUGAUAAAUAUAGAAGACCUAAAGGUGGAAGAUCAAUUAAAUUUCUCCCUUCAGAAGCGAGGUUUUGUGGAGUUAUUGUUAUUAGGGAUAGUAGUAGUCAUUGCGAUUCAAUGUAAACCUUUCCCUAUUGCCAUUUUCAAAUGUGUAACAUUCCAUGGAGCUACACCAUUUGUGUGUUACCAUUCUUGAAUAAAUAUAAGUUUUCCUAUCAAAUUCUAUGAUUUGCUAUUUUUCUCUGAUUUUCUUUGUUAUGCAAAAUGCCAUUUAUUUGUUAAUAAUGAAAUUUUGAACUCAAAAAGAACUUUUCAACAUAUUGAGAAACACAAUUUUGCUUUGACAUGUGGAAAUAUUAAAAGGAAAUAUUUCGUCUUUCCCCACAAGUCUCAAGUUGUAAGAUUUAUCUUGGAUGAUUAACAUAUAUCUCCAGAGAGCACGAAUUUAUCAUUCUCCGAAAGGAUUACUGGGCCAGUUGUAACUGUACACUUGAUGGAUCCUCCUUUGAUGUAUUUAGAGUCACUCCUUUGGUUGAGUUGUUGGUAUUAAGGAUUCGGUAUCUCCAUUAAAUCCUUCUAUAAAUUUCCAGUUUGCAUGUUGUCCGCAUUUGCAUAUCAUGAUCAUUCAUGUAUCAUGCAUAUAAGCAAAAUCAAAAUCAUGCCUAGCCCGAAGUAUACUUCGUGCUCAUUUGCAUAGUAUCAGGUCUCGUUGCUGAGUUUGUCCCUUGACCUCUAAGUCCAGUUGUUACUGGCAUCGUUUGUUAAGUCUGGUUGUCACUAGCAUCUUUGUCAAAUCCAGUUGUAACUGGUAUCUCCCUAAAUCUGGUCAUCACCAACGUCUUCUGUCAAGUCCAGUUGUAACUGGCGUCCUAUUUCUAAACCUAGUUAUAACUGGUAUCUUUUUUAAAAGGCUGGUUGUAACCAUCAUUGUCUACGAGCCCAAUUGUUAUUAGCAUUACCUCUCAAGUCCUGUUGUAACCAGCAUCUUAUCUGAAAUCCAAUCGUAAUUGGUAUCUCAAGCAUAGUUGUAAUUGGCACGUUAAUAAAAUCCAUUUGUAAAUGGUAUGAUAAGUCUGGUUGUACCCAGCAUUUGUUUUAAGUCCAGUUGUUAUUGGCAUUAUCUAUUAAGUCCAGUUGUAACUGGCGUACAAAUUGUGAAGUCCAGUUGUAACCGGUAUCCUUUUGAAGUCUGGUUGUCACCAGCGUCUGUUAAAUCCAUCUUUAAAUGGUAUCUUUAAGUCUGGUCGUCACCAGCACCCUUGAAGUCCAGUUGUAACUGGCACUAAUCCGUUUGAAGAUGGUUAUACCAUAUGUUUAUGGUAUAAGUCGAAUUGUGGUUGGCACCUACAGAGAGUUUUUCUAUCAUGUUGGCUCUAGCUUCCUAGAAAGUAGUCGUUCUGAUUCUUUCAUUGACAGGAAUUUCCAAAAAAAUUGGUCGGAUUAUUUUCUUGUGAGAUAUCUCUGGAUUUAUAUAAAUAUAUUCAAGUUGUCAUCAGGUCAUGUCUGAACUUGCUGUCAGAACUUUUUGAUAUUCCCCAUCAUUGUCAGGUCAUGUAUGAACCUGUUGCUGAACUUUUAUUCCAGUGUUAUCGGGUCUACAAAAAUAUAUAUGCAUUCGAGUUGUUAGUAAGUCAUGUGUGAACUUACUGUCAAAAUCUCUUGUACUCCAAGUGUCGUUUAUCAACUUUCACUUUGAGUACUCCCCAGGGUGUGUCUGACUCUCCAGCAGGAUUGUUAUCCCCAGCGAGUUUUUUUACCCCAGUUGCCUAUUUCCCUAUGGGCCAUCAGUAUUCCCCACAGAUUAUUUUGUCUGGCAUACAUCUCCUAUUAAGGAUUCACCAUGUCCCUAACAGAUAAAUUCAGAAGUAAAAAGUCUUUCACCCAUGCAUAUCACAUCAUAGCAUUUUCAUUUCAGGACCAAAAUAUGGGUAUUCUUGGUAUUUAACUAUCUCCUGCCAUGACCAUAUGAAGGUUGUCUUACUUCAUAUUCUCUGGUUGAAGAUACUUAAAUAGGGGAAACUGUCACACCCCGAUUUUGCCCCCGAUAUUCAUGACAUUAUUUCAUUCAUUAUUUGUUCCUCAUGAUUUUGUUCCUCUAUUAUGGUACCCUUUUUUCAUAAGCAUCAAGUGGUCUCCUUUUCUGUUAUUAGUGCACCUUGUUGUUUUAUGCGCAUUCAAGGCAAAGUUCUACCGUCAACAUGUUUAGAUACAUAGGUGCUUUCCGCGUCGGUAGUAAUCAAGGAAUUCGAGGAUUAUUGUGUUUGGAUUAGAGUAUGUGGUCAAAAAUAUUUUUCAUGAAAAGCUUUGAUGAACAUUAUUUGAUUCAAGGAGAUUCCAGUGGUUUACCAUGUUUUAAGGGAGAGUCAUUAUCAUGUGAGUUUUUCAAGAGGCACCAAGCAUGGUUGUCGUCGGAAUCAAGCUAGUGGCCGAAGGCCAUCCUUUAUUUGCAUGGAUUUUAAUAGAUAAUUCAAGGGAAACACAAAAGGAGUCUCAAUCAUGUUCACUAAUUUGGUGUUGAUAUUGGGAUUUAAAUCUAAAGGGGGCAUUUGGUCGAAGCUAAUGAUACUCACAUGCAAACUUUAUGCUUGGAUCCUAAGGUAACAAAUGUGCAUCAUGUUAUUGUUAACCAAGCGCCAUUCAAAGUAGGCUAAGACCAUGUAAGAGCAACUAGUAUGUUAAUUGAGGAAAAUUACAGGCCUUGUAUAUGAUACAAUAAAAUUAGUUGUUGGCCAUUAACACUGGACCAAGCAACCUCAAGAAAAUCUAAUUUGAUUGGUCGCUUCAAGACAGGUUCUAUUUCAAUUUCUACAUCACAAAAUGCUAUCAAAACUUAAUAUCCAAAUGUGUAGAAGCUUGAUGGUAGUUGUGUCUUCUAUAUUCCUUACCACCAUACAAUUGGGUCGACAAUGUAUCCUUAUUACUCAGGACCAUUAUCGCACUUAUAAUUGUAAUACGGUUGGGAGGAUUCACUAUGGUCCUUCAUAGCCAUAUCAGCAUCUGCAAUUAUUUUCUUUGUUGACCCAAUUGUUGUUUCAGCAACAGACUUAGAAUCUUCAAAAAUAUACGGCAUAACCAUUUGCACUGCUAGAUGAUCUUGUGGAUUGCUGCUUAUUUGAUUCAAUUGACGCACCCUUCAACCUGUGCUAGGAGCUGCAAAGGAGAAGCAAAUCAACACUCCUUCUGUCAAAGAAUGGCUUGAUGACUUGAAAGAUGCUGUCUACGAUGCUGAAGAUUUACUCAACCAAACUAGCUAUGAUUCCCUUCACCAAGAUGGAGAACAAACUACCUGCAGCAAAACAACAUCAAAUUGUGAGAUGUGGCAAUAUUUUUGAGAAAAAAAUAUACACAAUGGAACUGCGGAUGCUUUUCGUUCUAAAGUGGUGGAAACCGAGACCAACGGUGCAAAGUUGGAACUACAAAAUCCUAUUGAUUCAGGUGCACAGAUGGAUGACAUGAAAAAACCAUUUAUAACGCCAUCGCCACCUUCAACCUGCAUCCCUAUGCGAAGACAUACUUUCCAUUCUUUUUCUCGCGUUUCACUGCAGUAAAAAAUCAUAAUAAUUUGGUAAGGCAGUAAAAAUUCACAAACAACAAAAAGGAACCUAACAUUUUCACAAGAGAGAGUACAAGGUACAAGUUGCCUUUUUCAGAAUAAAACAUCAAAAUAGGGUAGACAAAGGGAAGCACAAGAGGCGUCCUCAAAGACCGAUGUCCCUUGGCUCUUGUGGGCCAAUUCAAAAAAACCCUAGCAGGAUGGAUUUAAAAGCAAGAACAUUCUCCUCAUGGAGGGGGCGGCUAUUGUUCAAAAAGGAAGAGGACGAACCCCUAAGAACACCACAACGAAAUCAAUCAGAUCGAUUCUUGAGAACCCAAGCAAAGUUGUAAAAGCAUUGAGUCCAAAGGAAAAGGAAAAGAAGUGGUCACGCACCUGUUCAUCUGCUCCAAAGUACCCCGAUCCAAUAAAUUUAUUACCCCUUUCUGCGUUUCAUUCCCAGAUUCACGAAUGUGUGCAUAGUUCCUCUCUUCCAUGCUUUGUUUUAUUUCUCUACAAAAUGAUUGUCCUUUUUUUUGUCGUUUGAUGUUGGAGGUUGACUUCGUGGAUUAGGGUUCAAGAUUUGGUAGAUGUCAAUUGCAUUUGUUCCUUUUUUUUCUUAAUGCUGAAGUUUGGUUUGUGUAAGGAGAAAUAGACUUUGAUUUAUUCCGUAAGUGUUUCAAGCUGAGAAGAGAAGGGUUUGAGGCAGAGCGGAACAUUCCAUUUUCAGUUUCGAUUUGUAUCAAAAUGAGUUUUAAGGCCAAAGAUGAACGGUGCCUUUCCCACUGCCCGAGAUUAAUAUUGUUUUGUUUCUCCCUAGGCUUUAAUGACCGUCUUUCUCGGUCACGACGUGUGGUCGUUGGGGUGGGAGAAUCUUGUCUUCACACGUGCCUUCCUGCGGAAGGUGGAGGGUUUUGCUGGAUCCGACCCAUGGUUUCGAAUAACCCGGAUGGAUCUUGCCCAUUUGGCCCUCCUAGGUUGACGAACCGCCCCUGCUCCGUCUAGUUUGUUGCGCCCUGAUGGGCCUUAGGAGCAUUCAGGGCCCACUGUUUUUUUACUGUUUUUGUUGGCAUUUGUUUUGUUUUUAUUAUUUCUCUUUUUAUUUUCUUUCAAGAAAUAAUUUUAUUUAUUUAAAAUGAAGUUUUAUUUAUCAAUUAGGUUUUCUAUCAAUA